CAGCAGCCACGGGAAUACGAAGGGGGCUAGCGUUGUUCGGAUUUACUGGGCGUAAAGCGCACGUAGGCGGACUUUUAAGUCAGGGGUGAAAUCCCGGGGCUCAACCCCGGAACUGCCUUUGAUACUGGAAGUCUUGAGUAUGGUAGAGGUGAGUGGAAUUCCGAGUGUAGAGGUGAAAUUCGUAGAUAUUCGGAGGAACACCAGUGGCGAAGGCGGCUCACUGGACCAUUACUGACGCUGAGGUGCGAAAGCGUGGGGAGCAAACAGGAUUAGAUACCCCCGUAGUCCCUGUCUCUUAUAC
rnacentral:rRNA from 1 species